rnacentral:rRNA from 1 species
GACGAACGCUGGCGGCGUGCUUAACACAUGCAAGUCGAACGGAAAGGCCCUGCUUUUGUGGGGUGCUCGAUUGGCGAACGGGUGAGUAACACGUGAGUAACCUGCCCUUGACUUUGGGAUAACUUCAGGAAACUGGGGCUAAUACCGGAUAGGAGCUCCUGCUGCGUGGUGUGGGAUGGAAAGUUUCGGCGGUUGGGGAUGGACUCGCGGGUUAUCAGCUUGUUGGUGUGGUAGUGGCUUACGAAGGCUUUGACGGGUAGCCGGCCUGGGAGGGUGGACGGCCACCAUGGGCCUGAGAUAGGCAGCAGAAUGCUACGGGAGGCAGUAGUGGGGAACAUUGCACAACGGGCGCAAGCCUGAUGCAGCAACGCCGGGUGCGGGAUGCCGGCCUUCGGGUUGUAAACCGCUUUCGCAUGUGACGAAGCGUGCGUGACGGUAAUGGGUAAAGAAGCACCGGCUAACUACGUG